CGNGCUCCUGCUCCCGCUCCGCCCCCGGCCUGGCCCGGCCCCGCUCCCGCUCCUUCCCGAGGCCUCGGGCGCGGCGGGCCCUGCCCGGCCUGAGGCCGCCUCGGAGGCGGGGCCAGGCGGAGACUGCUGCCGUGGUGUUUACCAGAGGGUGGACCCGUCUUAAGGCAUCCUUAAUAUAAAGAGAGAACUGCAGAGAAGAACUGCAUAUUUGAAUGGACUAUUAACACAAGAACAACACUUGACAACUGGCCACUUCACCCUUGCCCUGAACUUCCUGUGCAGAGCUUACCAUGAUUGAUUUUACAGGACUCAUUGGAAGUCCUGAUUUUGCUUCUGUUAUCUCUAUGGGCAGUCCUGUUCUUUUCCACCUUUAUGGGAAAAAAACGGCU